GAUGAACGCUGGCGGCGUGCCUAAUACAUGCAAGUCGAGCGAACAGAUAAGGAGCUUGCUCCUUUGACGUUAGCGGCGGACGGGUGAGUAACACGUGGGUAACCUACCUAUAAGACUGGAAUAACUCCGGGAAACCGGGGCUAAUGCCGGAUAACAUGUUGAACCGCAUGGUUCUACAGUGAAAGGCGGCUUUGCUGUCACUUAUAGAUGGACCCGCGCCGUAUUAGCUAGUUGGUGAGGUAACGGCUCACCAAGGCAACGAUACGUAGCCGACCUGAGAGGGUGAACGGCCACACUGGAACUGAGACACGGUCCAGACUCCUACGGGAGGCAGCAGUAGGGAAUCUUCCGCAAUGGGCGAAAGCCUGACGGAGCAACGCCGCGUGAGUGAUGAAGGUCUUCGGAUCGUAAAACUCUGUUAUUAGGGAAGAACAAAUGCGUAAGUAACUGUGCGCGUCUUGACGGUACCUAAUCAGAAAGCCACGGCUAACUACGUG
rnacentral:rRNA from 1 species